rnacentral:snRNA from 1 species
AUACUUUUCUCAGCCUUUUGACUAAGAUCAAGUGUAGUAUCUGUUCUUAUUAGUUUAAUAUAUGAUACGUGGGCCAUGUGUCCACGGAUAUUAAAUUAGUAUUUUGUGUGAAAGGGCCCAACACGGACCCAUGAUAUUUGCUAAUGAUGGAUUAAUUAGGCUUAAUAAAUUUGU